UGGGGAAUCUUCCGCAAUGGACGAAAGUCUGACGGAGCAACGCCGCGUGAGUGAAGACGGCCUUCGGGUUGUAAAGCUCUGUGAUCCGGGACGAAAGAGCCUGAGGUGAAUAGCCUAAGGAAGUGACGGUACCGGAAAAGCAAGCCACGGCUAACUACGUGCCAGCAGCUGCGGUAAUACGUAGGUGGCAAGCGUUGUCCGGAAUUAUUGGGCGUAAAGCGCGCGCAGGCGGCUUCCUAAGUCCAUCUUAAAAGUGCGGGGCUUAACCCCGUGAUGGGAUGGAAACUGGGAAGCUGGAGUAUCGGAGAGGAAAGUGGAAUUCCUAGUGUAGCGGUGAAAUGCGUAGAGAUUAGGAAGAACACCGGUGGCGAAGGCGACUUUCUGGACGAAAACUGACGCUGAGGCGCGAAAGCGUGGGGAGCAAACAGG
rnacentral:rRNA from 1 species